rnacentral:rRNA from 1 species
GACAGAGGUGCCGAGCGUUAGGCGGAAUCACUGGGCUUAAAGCGUGUGUAGGCGGGCCGUUAAGUGUCUUGUGAAAUCCCCCGGCUCAACCGGGGAAUUGCUGGGCAUACUGGCGGUCUUGAGCAAUCUAGGGGCAGAUGGAACAAGUGGUGGAGCGGUGAAAUGCGUAGAUAUCGUUUGGAACGCCAAUGGUGAAAACAACUUGCUGGGGGUGUGCUGACGCUGAGACACGAAAGCCAGGGGAGCAAACGGG